rnacentral:rRNA from 1 species
GACGAACGCUGGCGGCGUGCUUAACACAUGCAAGUCGAACGGAAAGGCCCCUUCGGGGGUGCUCGAGUGGCGAACGGGUGAGUAACACGUGGGUGAUCUGCCCUGCACUUUGGGAUAAGCCUGGGAAACUGGGUCUAAUACCGGAUAGGACCGCUCCAUGCAUGUGGGGUGGUGGAAAGCUUUUGCGGUGUGGGAUGGGCCCGCGGCCUAUCAGCUUGUUGGUGGGGUGAUGGCCUACCAAGGCGACGACGGGUAGCCGGCCUGAGAGGGUGUCCGGCCACACUGGGACUGAGAUACGGCCCAGACUCCUACGGGAGGCAGCAGUGGGGAAUAUUGCACAAUGGGCGCAAGCCUGAUGCAGCGACGCCGCGUGGGGGAUGACGGCCUUCGGGUUGUAAACCUUUUCAGCCAUGACGAAGCGCAAGUGACGGUAGUGGCAGAAGAAGCA